UACGGGGGAUGCAAGCGUUAUCCGGAUUUAUUGGGUUUAAAGGGUGCGUAGGCUGUAAGGUAAGUCAGCGGUGAAAUGCCCCCGCUCAACGGGGUGAAGUGCCAUUGAUACUGCCUUGCUGGAAUGCGGAUGCCGUGGGAGGAAUGUGUGGUGUAGCGGUGGAAUGCGUAGAUAUAUGGAAGAACACCAGUGGCGAAGGCGGCUCUCUGGUCUGUAACUGACGCUGAGGCUCGAAAGCAUGGGUAGCGAACAGG
rnacentral:rRNA from 1 species